rnacentral:rRNA from 1 species
AACGAACGCUGGCGGCAGGCUUAACACAUGCAAGUCGAACGAGUAGCAAUACUAGUGGCGCACGGGUGAGUAACACGUGGGAAUCUCCCUUUCAGUACGGGAUAACGUCGGGAAACUGACGCUAAUACCGUAUACACCUCCGGGUGAAAGAUUUAUCGCUGAAAGAUGAGCCCGCGUCAGAUUAGCUAGUUGGUGGGGUAACGGCCUACCAAGGCUCCGAUCUGUAGCUGGUCUUAGAGGAUGAUCAGCCACACUGGAACUGAGACACGGUCCAGACUCCUACGGGAGGCAGCAGUGGGGAAUAUUGGACAAUGGGGGCAACCCUGAUCCAGCCAUGCCGCGUGAGUGAUGAAGGCCUUCGGGUUGUAAAGCUCCUUUGUGUGGGAAAAUGAUGAUGGUACCACAAGAAUAAGCCCCGGCUAACUUCGUGCCAGCCGCCGCGGUAA